rnacentral:rRNA from 1 species
GAGUUUGAUCCUGGCUCAGAGUGAACGCUGGCGGUAGGCCUAACACAUGCAAGUCGAACGGCAGCACAGGAGAGCUUGCUCUCUGGGUGGCGAGUGGCGGACGGGUGAGGAAUACAUCGGAAUCUACUCUGUCGUGGGGGAUAACGUAGGGAAACUUACGCUAAUACCGCAUACGACCUACGGGUGAAAGUGGGGGACCGCAAGGCCUCACGUGAUUGAAUGAGCCGAUGUCGGAUUAGCUAGUUGGCGGGGUAAAGGCCCACCAAGGCGACGAUCCGUAGCUGGUCUGAGAGGAUGAUCAGCCACACUGGAACUGAGACACGGUCCAGACUCCUACGGGAGGCAGCAGUGGGGAAUAUUGGACAAUGGGCGCAAGCCUGAUCCAGCCAUACCGCGUGAGUGAAGAAGGCCCUCGGGUUGUAAAGCUCUUUUGUUGGGAAAGAAAUCCUGUUGAUUAAUACUCGGCAGGGAUGACGGUACCCAAAGAAUAAGCACCGGCUAACUUCGUGCCAGCCGCC